CGUCUCACAGAAGAAGUCCUGGCUAACUCCGUGCCAGCAGCCGCGGUAAUACGGAGAGGGCUAGCGUUAUUCGGAAUUAUUGGGCGUAAAGGGCGCGUAGGCGGAUUAGUAAGUUAAAAGUGAAAUCCCAAGGCUCAACCUUGGAAUUGCUUUUAAAACUGCUAAUCUAGAGAUUGAAAGAGGAUAGAGGAAUUCCUAGUGUAGAGGUGAAAUUCGUAAAUAUUAGGAGGAACACCAGUGGCGAAGGCGUCUAUCUGGUUCAAAUCUGACGCUGAGGCGCGAAGGCGUGGGGAGCAAACAGGAUUAGAUACCCUGGUAGUCCACGCUGUAAACGAUGAAUGUUAAAUAUGGGAAGUUUUACUUUCUGUAUUACAGCUAACGCGUUAAACAUUCCGCCUGGGGACUACGGUCGCAAGAUUAAAACUCAAAGGAAUUGACGGGGACCCGCACAAGCGGUGGAGCAUGUGGUUUAAUUCGAUGCAACGCGAAAAACCUUACCACUCCUUGACAUGGAAAUUAUACCUAUUCGAAGGGAUAGGGUCGGUUCGUCCGGGUUUCACACAGGUGUUGCAUGGCUGUCGUCAGCUCGUGUCGUGAGAUGUUAGGUUAAGUCCCGCAACGAGCGCAACCCUCAUCCUUAGUUACCAUCAGGUAAUGCUGGGGACUUUAAGGAAACUGCCAGUGAUAAACUGGAGGAAGGUGGGGAUGAUGUCAAGUCAUCAUGGCCCUUAUGGAGUGGGCUACACACGUGCUACAAUGGUGGCUACAAUGGGCUGCAAAGUCGCGAGGCUAAGCUAAUCCCUUAAAAGCCAUCUCAGUUCGGAUUGUACUCUGCAACUCGAGUGCAUGAAGUUGGAAUCGCUAGUAAUCGUGGAUCAGCACGCCACGGUGAAUACGUUCUCGGGUCUUGUACACACUGCCCGUCACGCCAUGGGAAUGGUC
rnacentral:rRNA from 1 species